CCAGACUCCUACGGGAGGCAGCAGUGAGGAAUAUUGGUCAAUGGGCGAGAUCCUGAACCAGCCAAGCCGCGUGAGGGAAGACGGCCCUAUGGGUUGUAAACCUCUUUUGUCGGAGAACAAAACCCGGGACGAGUCCCGGACUGCGUGUAUCCGAAGAAAAAGCAUCGGCUAACUCCGUGCCAGCAGCCGCGGUAAUACGGAGGAUGCGAGCGUUAUCCGGAUUUAUUGGGUUUAAAGGGUGCGCAGGCGGAUUUUUAAGUCAGCGGUCAAAUCGUGGGGCUCAACCCCAUCCAGCCGUUGAAACUGGGGAUCUAGAGUGUGCGAGAGGUAUGCGGAAUGCGUGGUGUAGCGGUGAAAUGCAUAGAUAUCACGCAGAACCCCGAUUGCGAAGGCAGCAUACCGGUGCACAACUGACGCUCAGGCACGAAAGCGUGGGUAUCGAACAGGAUUAGAUACCCGAGUA
rnacentral:rRNA from 1 species